rnacentral:lncRNA from 1 species
AACACAGAAUAUCUGAUGUCUUUAAGAAUGUCAAACUCUUCUUAAGCUUCAUUUUGUAUAAUUGUUAAAAGUAUUGUAUCAAUCUCAGCAACAGGUUUUUAUCUUCACAUUUCUUUAUUUCCCCCCUACAUUUACAUGCCAGAUGAUCUACUAAUGGAAAGAGAAUUGAGAGAGACAUCAGAAAGCAACUGUUUAACACAAAAAUCCAGUUUACACCAUCCCAACAGCUAAAUUGCUUCAAAGGGUGAGUGUUAAUUGUUAUUUCCACUCAGCAUUAAAUACUAUAAUUCUAGCCAGUGUUUCUUUGCUUCCACAUCCAGUUUUUAUCUUCAUCAUGAAAAGCAAUUCAAACAAGCUUGGACAAUUCUACGUCCCUAAUUUUCCGAACAUUUGGUACCCAAAGACCAACAAAAGAUUGACUAUCAAAUAUCUUUUGGCUGAAAAACAGAUGGCAGUAGGGC